UAAUAGAACCAGUUUGUGGUGCUGAUCCAUUAUUUUCUUGCUUGUUUUUUUCCCAGGGGUAGGAACAAUUGGCGAGACUCGGAUAAACAUGAAAAAGCCAUAGUUGUCAUGUAGUCCUAGUGCUGCCUCCAAGUUAGGGGCAGCUUGGCUUAGUGAUGCAACAUCAAUAGCUUAUUCCUAGGUGGUUGCUCCUCACCAAGUAUGGGCCAAAAAGGAACUCAUUUGCUGCUGGCAUUUAGGGUUGUGCUUUCCUUCAAAGUCCUAGCUGUUGAAAAAAUUGAAUAUAGAUGGUAAGUGGCCAUGACUAUGGGAAGUGGGGCUAGUACUGCAAUAUUGUCAGAUUUUCUACUAGAUUGAAACCAAAGUUAGAAUAUGAUUCCAUGCUGAAAUAUUAAAUCUGUUGCAUGCUUGCAGUUUUUAUGGACGAGAGAAGUAUAAAGAUCAAGAACCAAGUGCAUCGAAUUUGUUUGAGUGCCUCUACAGAAAAAAGAGAAAUGAUACACCUUAUGUACAGAUUGUCAUAGCAUGUUAGCUUUCAAAUACGGCUCAUUGCAAUUAAUUCUGGAUGAAAUUUUUUUAAGUGAUUUGAUGUUGUAUGUGAUGAAAUGCUCAAUUAAACUAUUUAUGUGAUGAGAUGUUAAUUUCUUAUUGAUA